UAGAAAUAUACUUUUUGUUACACUCGAAAUCUGUUCAAGAUUUCCGGUUUCGUUUUCACUACUAGAUCUAGUUCAUCACUAGAGUUCUUGUUCUUGAAAAGUGUUGUUUUGUUUAUUACUUUGUAACUUGUCUUUAGCUUCUCCUAGUCCUAGUCUAGAUCUAGAGUAUAUCUAGAUUAUUCUAGAUCUACAAGAGAUUUCAAAUGAUAAGUGACUAUAUCUACAGGGAUACGCAAAUUAAGACCUGCGGGCCGUGGGUGACUUGUUAUUGAUGACACUGGAGUAGAAAUUUUCAUGUUUAUAACAGCAUCCAAUAGCUGU